rnacentral:rRNA from 1 species
UACGUAGGCAGCGAGCGUUGUUCGGAAUUACUGGGCGUAAAGAGUGUGUAGGCGGUGCUCCCAGUCUGUUGUGAAAUCUCCCGGCUUAACUGGGAGGGUGCAGCGGAAACUAGAGUGCUAGAGGGUGGGAGAGGUAAGCGGAAUUCCUGGUGUAGCGGUGAAAUGCGCAGAUAUCAGGAAGAACACCCGUGGCGAAGGCGGCUCUCUGGGACGGUACUGACGCUGAGACGCGAAAGCGUGGGGAGCGAACAGG